GGGGAAUAUUGCGCAAUGGGGGCAACCCUGACGCAGCCAUGCCGCGUGAAUGAAGAAGGCCUUCGGGUUGUAAAGUUCUUUCGGUAGCGAGGAAGGCAUUUAGUUUAAUAGACUAGGUGAUUGACGUUAACUACAGAAGAAGCACCGGCUAACUCCGUGCCAGCAGCCGCGGUAAUACGGAGGGUGCGAGCGUUAAUCGGAAUAACUGGGCGUAAAGGGCACGCAGGCGGUGACUUAAGUGAGGUGUGAAAGCCCCGGGCUUAACCUGGGAAUUGCAUUUCAUACUGGGUCGCUAGAGUACUUUAGGGAGGGGUAGAAUUCCACGUGUAGCGGUGAAAUGCGUAGAGAUGUGGAGGAAUACCGAAGGCGAAGGCAGCCCCUUGGGAAUGUACUGACGCUCAUGUGCGAAAGCGUGGGGAGCAAACAGGAUUAGAUACCCUGGUAGUCCACGCUGUAAACGAUGUCGAUUUGGGGGUUGAACUAUAAGUUUGGCGCCCGUAGCCAACGUGAUAAAUCGACCGCCUGGGGAGUACGGCCGCAAGGUUA
rnacentral:rRNA from 1 species